GACGAACGCUGGCGGCGUGCUUAACGCAUGCAAGUCGAACGGAAAGGCCCUGCUUUUGUGGGGUGCUCGAGUGGCGAACGGGUGCGUAACACGUGAGUAACCUGCCCUUGACUUUGGGAUAACUUCAGGAAACUGGGGCUAAUACCGGAUCGGAGCUCAUGCUGCAGGGUGGGGGUUGGAAAGUUUCGGCGGUUGGGGAUGGACUCGCGGCUUAUCAGCUUGUUGGUGGGGUAGUGGCUUACCAAGGCUUUGACGGGUAGCCGGCCUGAGAGGGUGACCGGCCACAUUGGGACUGAGGUACGGCCCAGACUCCUACGGGAGGCAGCAGUGGGGAAUAUUGCACAAUGGGCGGAAGCCUGAUGCAGCAACGCCGCGUGCGGGAUGACGGCCUUCGGGUUGUAAACCGCUUUCGCCUGUGACGAAGCGUGAGUGACGGUAAUGGGUAAAGAAGCACCGGCUAACUACGUG
rnacentral:rRNA from 1 species